rnacentral:rRNA from 1 species
UACGUAGGGUGCAAGCGUUGUCCGGAAUUAUUGGGCGUAAAGAGCUCGUAGGCGGUCUGUCGCGUCGGAUGUGAAAAUCCAGGGCUCAACCCUGGACCUGCAUUCGAUACGGGCAGACUAGAGUUCGGUAGGGGAGACUGGAAUUCCUGGUGUAGCGGUGAAAUGCGUAGAUAUCCGGAGGAACACCGGUGGCGAAGGCGGCUUCCUGGACCGACACUGACGCUGAGGCGCGAAAGCUAGGGGAGCAAACGGG